UAGGACCGAGGAACAAAAAGCAACUGCAGA
rnacentral:piRNA from 1 species